UCUGAAUUGGCAGAUUUUAUGUAUUAAAUUUAGGUUUUAAUUAAGUAUUUAUACAUUCAGUA
rnacentral:tRNA from 2 species